GUCCCGCACGUCCUGCCCUCGGAACGGGUGGGGGUCCUGUCACCAGGGGCCCGGGUCCAUCCCCGGGCACUUUGCUUUGUGUUUCUGCUGCAACUACAAGUUGCAACCAAUUUUUUUUCCUCCUCUUACUUCCUCAUUUAGUGCUCAGCCACUCUCACAGCAUAUAGGGAGUUUAAGAGCUUCUUUUCUGUGCUGGAGGGGGAGCUUUCGGGCUGGCUCCACCUCUCCACACUCAGACAACCUCAUAGGAAAGAAGCUUCUCAGAUUCAGGUGGACCUGCCUGUGUUUCAGUUUGUGCCCGUUGCCUCUUGUCCUGUCGCCGGGCUCCACGGAGAAGAGCCCAGCCCCAUCCUCUUGACACUCCCCUUUAGAUAUUUGCACGCAUUGAUGAGAUUCCCUCUCAGUCUUCUCUUCUCCAGGCUAAUUGCUAAUUUGCAGGCAUCUGCAAAACCCGUUCCCCCACCUCGGGGUGUCGGUUUGCUGUGCCCCGGGGUGGCAGAUGGGUGCUAGAGGAGGCUUUGCUUUAAGGGCAUUUUAGGAGCAAGAUGCUUUAUCAGGCGCUGCUUUUUCCAACUCUUUUCUGGUGUCUUUAUGCCAGCCCGGCCUUUGCUGCAAGGAGGCACAUGGAUGCCCCGUGCGUGGGCACAUGCUGCAACCGGGGCCACGCUUGCUGAAAUGGCUCAGUUGGAGCCAUUUCGGAGAGACCUUCCCAGCUGCGUGCAGGCGCCAGGCCCGAGUCCUGCAGAGGCGGCAAACGGUGGGGUCCCCGUUGCAGAAGCAUCUCCCAUGCGAGACGAAUCACUCGACGGGGCUGAAGGUGCUGAGCACAGCUCGGCGUGCAAGCGCUUGCAGCGAAAAUAUUCAAGCUGGAGCGAGACACCGCGAUCCAAAUGCAGGCGGUAAACAAAGACAAGUGUUACCACUCGCGAGAUAUUAUCAUCAGGUUGCUCGGUGCCUUUUGCAGAGCCCCGAUUCCUGGACUGAAAAGACUUCAGAAACGUCUCUGAGUUGUUCUUUCUUUCUAAGAAGUAACAUUUCAGCCUCAUGAUUGGAGUGAAAAAGACCAAAACUGGAUGCAAGCGGAACCCAAGGACGUGACAGAAUUAAAAGUCUCCAAAAUAUAUUUACUGGAACAAAAACGCCAAGAAGUUUUUUGAGACUCCUACUUGUUCUCCUUAAAACGAAGCUAGUGAUUUGGCAGCAUCUGAGUCAGGAGUUUUGAACGUCCUGUGUUGCUCAUAUCUGAAAUGAAGAUGCUGAACACCUGCAAAUCCUUCGGGUAUUUGGCAAAAUCAGCUGCUUAGUUGGGAUAGGGUCCCGAGGCCUCCCUGGGAGAGCGGGGAAUCAAAGAGUUCAGAUGGGUCUGACGGUGGGGCUGGAUUUACCUGCACAGUGUUGAACCUGUUUGCUAUUUCUCGACACCACAGGCAGGAAUGGAAACCAGGAAAUUAAAAUUGCCUUCUGCAGGGAGGGUGAGCAGCUGGGUUGUGGCCAAAAUCUCUGCUAAAGCUGCUCAUGCCGGGUCCCGGCACGGUGUCUCGUGCCCGUGCUGGGGCCACGGCGAGCCCUGGGCAGCCCCGCACGGCCGAGCGCUUUGCCACGGGGUCUGCGUGCAUCACUGGCUGGGCGGAGCAGACCGUUGUCCUUGCCCUGCACAUUUACCCGCAAAGCUCAGGUUUUGGAGAAGUCUUCCAAACUCCUCCUCCGCUCGGUCAGUGAAUGGGAAAUUUCCAACCCCUGUGAAUUCCUAAAAAGUCCACCAUGCAGAAGCACUCGCGACCCACGGGCAGAGGGUGCGCAAGGCCAUCUAGCAGGGAACAACCUCCCGCAUGCUGCAGCUGCCACGGACCUCUCGUGGCUGGAGGACGCUUGGCGUGAACGUGAUGGCUCCCUACAGUGCCGGAGAUUCGCUGGAGAGGCGAAGGUGACACCGGAAACGCUCACAGUCGUGGCACUGCAGUGCUAGGAGAGCCUCUUGCUUCUCAUUUAAAAUAAAAGCUUUUAGCAAUGCCA
rnacentral:lncRNA from 1 species